rnacentral:lncRNA from 1 species
CGGUGCUUUCUGUUUUCAUCAAUGAAAUUAGAAGAGACUCAAGAGAGAUGAGAGGAAAAUCAGACCGAGGCUCAAAACUCUUUGACUGAGGCGUCUGGAGUUUGGGAAACUCACCGACUGUCUUUGUGUUGAAGGAUGUGUCUGGAGUGAUGUUCGCAGGCUGUUAUGCUGAUGUAUUCAGUACGGACACGCUGAUGGAGUCUUUGGAGCGACGGCUACAGAGGCCUUUGUUGGCCAAAUCCAGGACAUUACCCAGCAUCCCUCAGUCCCCCGCCGCCAUCCGCGUGCAGCAGUCGGAGAAAGUUUGUGAACGUCAACAGCGCCCACAUGUUCCUUCCAGCCCUGGUGGUCUUGAAGCAUGUACGCUGCCUCCUGCAGGCGAGAUGUGGCGGCUGGAAGAUGAAAACGAGGCCGAAGUCGCUCCGGGUGCCGUCGACCCGCGGCCGCGCUCUCAGUCGCCGUUCUCACAUUUCCGGCGGCGGGCGGCAUAUCUGAGGAAAAGCAUCUCGGC